rnacentral:rRNA from 1 species
GCAAUCGACCAUAGCAUGUUUGAAAAGCAGGACUUCCCGUUCGCUCAGUCGUACUUAAAUCACAUGGCGCCUGGCUAGUAGCAAAGUUUGGUGACAAUUUGCGAAUCCCAAGGUGUCGAUUGUU